UAGUGGAUUGAUCGAUUAAUUUUCUCCGUAUAAUUCGAGAAGCUCACUCGAUUUGGAAGUUUUUGGAGAUCGCGCCGCACUAUCAAACUCUUAUUUUGGUACUUUGGACUUUACAUUUUGGGUUAAAUAACAUGUAUAGGUAUUUUGGCUAAUGUGGCCUAUAUGUUUUGUUAUGUAUUUAGCUAAUUGGUUUGGCUUGAAAAUGGUAUAUAUUUUGAUAUGUAGGUGUAAAUGGCCUUAUGAUAUGUUUUGUAUAUUUGCUAUGUGAAUGCUUUAUUUUGUGAACUGGUAUUUAAAGUACCAAAUGGUUGAAAUUGAGAAUACGUAUGCAUGCUAAGUUAGGCACAAUGUUUCAUAUAUGUAAUUGACCAUGUAGGUAGACUUUGGAAGUAUAUUCAGUAUGUUUAAAAGUGGCCAAA